GACGAACGCUGGCGGCGUGCUUAACACAUGCAGGUCGAACGGAAAGGCCCUGCUUUUGUGGGGUGCUCGAGUGGCGAACGGGUGAGUAACACGUGAGUAACCUGCCCUUGACUUUGGGAUAGCUUCAGGAAACUGGGGCUACUACCGGAUAGGAGCUCCUGCUGCAUGGUGGGGGUUGGAAAGUUUCGGCGGUUGGGGAUGGACUCGCGGCUUAUCAGCUUGUUGGUGGGGUAGUGGCUUACCAAGGGUUUGACGGGUAACCGGCCCGAGAGGGUGACCGGGCACCUUGGGACUGCGGUACGGCCCAGAGUCCUACGGGGGGCAAUAGGGGGGAAUAUUGCACAAUGGGCGGGAGCCGGAUGCAGAAACGCCGGGGGCGGGAAGACGGCCUUUGGGGUAUAAAACGCUUUCGCCUGUGACCAAGCGUGAGUGACGGUAAUGGGUAAAGAAGCACCGGCUAACUACGUG
rnacentral:rRNA from 1 species